GGAUUUAAAAUUUGUUACCAAGUUUCCUUUCGGGGACCCCGGGGGAAGCCCCAUUAUGAAUUAAUAAUAUUUGUGAAAUUUCAACAAACAACAUCAAUUUUAUAGUCUAUUAUUUUUAAUUAAAACUUUUAACAAUGGAUCUCUUGGUUCUCGUAUCGAUGAAGAACGCAGCGAAACGCGAUAUUUCUUGUGAAUUGCAGAAGUGAAUCAUCAGUUUUUGAACGCACAUUGCACUUUGGGGUAUCCCCCAAAGUAUACUUGUUUGAGCGUUGUUUCUCUCUUGGAAUUGCUUUGCUCUUCUAAAAUUUCGAAUCAAAUUCGUUUGAAAAACAACACUAUUCAACCUCAGAUCAAGUAGGAUUACCCGCUGAACUUAAGCAUAUCAAUAAGCGGAGGAA
rnacentral:misc_RNA from 1 species